rnacentral:lncRNA from 1 species
CAAUAUUUAUUAUAGACAUAUGUAUCGACAACCGCCCUUUUAAAGUUUUUAUAAAUAGAAAGGAUGAGGGGGUUGGAGAUCUCGAAUGUGGUGAUGUUGGAGAGACCAAUGGAUUGGGAUGAUGUUACAUAUGAGCAUGGAGUAAAUGAAGUGGCUAUGAAAUAAAUUCCAUGCUCAUUAAUGCUUGGAGUGAAUUCCAUGUGGUGUGGUAAAAAUGGUAAGGUGAGUGUGGUAAAAAAGGAAAAAAGAAAAAUGAUACAUGGACGACUUGGUUCGAAACUAGCACAGCUACCGUUCCCCAGCAACGGUGCCAGAAAGUUUGUUGGGUAUUUUAAACGUAAACAGAAAAAUCCGCAAGCGCACGGAUACCGAUGUAGCUUUCACCCGGAAGUAUUCCAGAGUAUCGACUUUCCACAGGGAACGUGAGUGUACUAAUUAAGAUUCAAGAUCGCCCAAGUGAAAGGUCCUUGUUUGGUUUUGGUAAUUGAGUGACAACUUAGGUGGACUAAUAGUGUUUAUGUGAGAUACACAGGAGAUUAGUCCACAGGUGAUUAUAUGAUGAUGGAGGAGCUCAUUGCAUAUGAGACAUGACAUGGAGUCAUGUGACCAAGGUGGAGA